rnacentral:rRNA from 1 species
AGUGAACGCUGGCGGUAGGCCUAACACAUGCAAGUCGAACGGCAGCACAGUAAGAGCUUGCUCUUAUGGGUGGCGAGUGGCGGACGGGUGAGGAAUACAUCGGAAUCUACUUUUUCGUGGGGGAUAACGUAGGGAAACUUACGCUAAUACCGCAUACGUCCUACGGGUGAAAGCAGGGGAUCUUCGGACCUUGCGCGAUUGAAUGAGCCGAUGUCGGAUUAGCUAGUUGGCGGGGUAAAGGCCCACCAAGGCGACGAUCCGUAGCUGGUCUGAGAGGAUGAUCAGCCACACUGGAACUGAGACACGGUCCAGACUCCUACGGGAGGCAGCAGUGGGGAAUAUUGGACAAUGGGCGCAAGCCUGAUCCAGCCAUACCGCGUGGGUGAAGAAGGCCUUCGGGUUGUAAAGCCCUUUUGUUGGGAAAGAAAAGCAGCAGGUUAAUACCCCGCCGUUCUGACGGUACCCAAAGAAUAAGCACCGGCUAACUUCGUG